AAAAACAUGUCUUUUUGAAAAUAAUAAAAAGUUUAAUUCUGCCCACUGAAUUUAUUUAAAGGGCUGCAGUAUAUUGACUGUACAAAGGUAGCAUAAUCAAUAGUCUUUUAAUUGAAGACUUGUAUGAAUGAUUUGAUGAAAUAUGAACUGUCUCUUUUUUAAAAAUAAAAUUUAAUUUUUUAGUUAAAAAGCUAAAAUAAUUAUAAAAGACGAGAAGACCCUAUAGAGUUUUAUAGUUAUUUAAUUUAAAAAUUUUAUAUAUAAUUUAAAUUUAAAAUUAAUUAAUUAUUUUAUUGGGGUGAUAGAAAAAUUAAAAAAACUUUUUUUAAAAAUUUAACAUUAAUUUAUGAAAUUAUGAUCCAUAAUUUAUGAUUAAAAGAAUCAAUUACCUUAGGGAUAACAGCGUAAUUUUUUUUUUUAGUACAAAUAAGAAAAAGAGUUUGCGACCUCGAUGUUGGAUUAAGAUAAAAUUUAAAUGCAAAAGUUUAAAAUUUUUGAUCUGUUCGAUCAUUAAAAUCUUACAUGAUCU
rnacentral:rRNA from 1 species